UACGUAGGGUGCGAGCGUUAAUCGGAAUUACUGGGCGUAAAGCGUGCGCAGGCGGUUAUAUAAGACAGAGGUGAAAUCCCCGGGCUCAACCUGGGAACUGCGCUUGUAACUGGCAAGCUAGAGUGUGGCAGAGGGGGGUGGAAUUCCACGUGUAGCAGUGAAAUGCGUAGAGAUGUGGAGGAACACCGAUGGCGAAGGCAGCCCCCUGGGCUAACACUGACGCUCAUGCACGAAAGCGUGGGGAGCAAACAGG
rnacentral:rRNA from 1 species